UCGAAUUGCAGCACCUUGCGGGUGCGUUUGGGUUGGUCACGUGACGGUGGCUCAGCAAGAUGGCGGCGGCGGCCCUGUGGAGGUGGAGGUUCGCUGCGGUUCAUAGUGGCUGAGUCUCGGCCUGUUCUCCCUUCGUUAAUGCAGCUUUUUAAAACUUUUUUAAAAAAGUUUUAAAAGGUGAUUGCUCUGUUUCCCUUUCCCGCUUAAUUUCCUUUCGUUUUUUUCUCCUAAAUGUCCUGCUGGGGAUGUGUGUGGAUUUCUGAAAGCUGCCAGUUUUUUAUGCCAUGGCUUUGAGGGAGCUGAAAGUUUGUCUGCUUGGGGACACGGGUGUCGGUAAAUCCAGCAUUGUUUGGAGGUUUGUGGAAGAUAGUUUUGACCCAAACAUCAAUCCCACAAUCGGGGCUUCUUUUAUGACAAAAACAGUACAAUAUCAAAGCGAGUUGCACAAGUUUCUGAUCUGGGACACAGCUGGUCAGGAGAGGGUAAGUGAAUAAAAUGCAGCUU